GAUUCCUGACAACACUGUUGGCUUCCCGGAGACUCCUUCAUCCUGCAGAAGAUGCAAUUCCACGGGGUCCUGAGAGAUUGGACAUGGGUGGGAUGUGGCAGUCCUCAUGGAAGACUCUUGAACAAGUGUCGCAACAGAACAGCUCCCCUCCGUCCCGGCACACCUCACACUCAUCCAAGUUUCUCAUCUAGAAGACAUCUGGCUGUGGGCUGUGAGACAUAAACCUCCAUGUCAAGCUCAUACAAAAUCAGCCACGCAAACACUGACCUCCAGGGCUGUUUUAACCAUUCGUGAGUCCCUGAGUUGGCCGGGCAUCAAAAUCAGUGUGGAAAAGACCUAAAUCUGAUUGGAGGACUGCUUUGGAGGUAAGGUUCUCAUUCACACCCAGUCUUCGAAAAACCAUCACCUUGUCCUGAAUCUACACUGCACUUAACCUAUUUGUUUGUUGCGUUCUUAAGUGAAGGAAAAAUCACUUUCACAGAUAAAAAGCAGGUCUGCACAGUCCCUCUGGUAGAACCAAAGAGGUGGCAUCAACAUAAAAGAUUUUCCUGGUCAGCUCCUCCUGUAAAAUACGUUUGCCUCUGGAGAUCUUCCUCCCCAAUGGCACCAUCUUGACAAAGUGGACUUGAUGAAAGCAUCUCACGGAAGAAAGAGCUAGUGAUUGUGCAUCAACCACUUGCAAUGUCAUUUCACGGCUGCACCUGUCAGGUCCAGCCAUUUUAAUUAGCCAAUGAUUUAAGGCAAAGGAAUUCCCAGGAAAAUCAGAUAAAACACAGAGGAAAACAACUUUAGAACUUGGACAGAUAAGAUCUAUGAUAUGAAUACAAUCAACUUACAACUCUGGCUUCUAAUGGGUUUGCUGUUUUUUAGAUUUCACUGCUCUGAAAUUGACUAAGUUUGACUAGUAAACAAUAAAGCUUCUAGGCUCCUCAAAACCUCAACAUGUGCAUUGACCUGCAGG
rnacentral:lncRNA from 1 species